rnacentral:rRNA from 1 species
UACGUAGGGUCCGAGCGUUGUCCGGAUUUAUUGGGCGUAAAGAGCUCGUAGGCGGCUCAGUAAGUCAGAUGUGAAAACUCAGGGCUCAACCCGGAGACGCCAUCUGAUACUGCUGUGGCUUGAGUCUGGUAGGGGAUCACGGAAUUCCUGGUGUAGCGGUGAAAUGCGCAGAUAUCAGGAGGAACACCGAUGGCGAAGGCAGUGAUCUGGGCCAGUACUGACGCUGAGGAGCGAAAGCGUGGGUAGCAAACAGGAUUAGAAACCCCAUAGUCC